rnacentral:rRNA from 1 species
AUUGAACGCUGGCGGCAUGCUUUACACGUGCAAGUCGAACGGUAACAGGCCGCAAGGUGCUGACGAGUGGCGAACGGGUGAGUAAUGCAUCGGAACGUGCCCAGUCGUGGGGGAUAACGCAGCGAAAGCUGCGCUAAUACCGCAUACGAUCUAUGGAUGAAAGCGGGGGACCGAAAGGCCUCGUGCGAUUGGAGCGGCCGAUGUCAGAUUAGGUAGUUGGGGGGGUAAAGGCCCACCAAGCCAACGAUCUGUAGCUGGUCUGAGAGGACGACCAGCCACACUGGGACUGAGACACGGCCCAGACUCCUACGGGAGGUAGCAGUGGGGAAUUUUGGACAAUGGGCGCAAGCCUGAUCCAGCAAUGCCGCGUGCAGGAAGAAGGCCUUCGGGUUGUAAACUGCUUUUGUACGGAACGAAACGGUCCGGGUUAAUACCCUGGGCUAAUGACGGUACCGUAAGAAUAAGCACCGGCUAACUACGUGCCAGCCGCCGCCGUAAAAC